CCUACAAAAAAACGGUUUCCCCAGGCCCCUCGAGUGAAAAUACCAGCCCUCAUCACUCCAGUCUGCCCCCCAGCCCACUGAUAGCAACCAUCAUAAUGCCCCACCCAGCUUCCGGCACCUUUCGCCACUCCGGCACAAGCCGACACAGCUUUGCUAUCUCGCCAGCAUGCAGAGUCUGAUGUCUUCCCUAUAGAUGGUGAGACGCUUUGCGUUGAUUGGUGCUGCUGGACCACACUGGAGGUGCGAGUCCGCCGU